rnacentral:rRNA from 1 species
GACGAACGCUGGCGGCGUGCCUAAUACAUGCAAGUAGAACGCAGUUGCGCAAGGGUGAGUAACGCGUAGGUAAAUGACUGGUAGCGGGGGAUAACUAUUGGAAACGAUAGCUAAUACCGCAUACUACCAGAUGGACCUGCGUUGUAUUAGAUAGUUGGUGAGGUAACGGCUCACCAAGGCAACGAUACAUAGCCGACCUGAGAGGGUGAACGGCCCAACUUGGACUGAUACACGUCUCAUACUCCUUCGGGAGGCAGCAGUAGGUAAUCUUCGGCAAUGGGGGGAACCCUUACCGAGCAACGCCGCGGGAGUGAAGAAGGUUUUCGGAUCGUAAAGCUCUGUUGUUAAGGUAGCGGUACUUAACCAGAAAGGGACGGCUAACUACGUGCCAGCAGCCGCGGUAAUUC